GCCCCGCGGCAAGAUGGCGGUCUGAAGGCAGUGGGCAGCGGCAGAAAGUUUGUUGUGGGAUUGGAUUAGUCGGGCUGGGAGUCUAUACUUGUAGGGGGUCGUGAGGAUGCCAACGGGGAGUUGGGGCGGAGGGAGUAGCUCUGGGGUUGAGAAGAGGAAGUGGAGUGGUGGAAGGUUGGAGGCAGAGAAAAAAAUGAGAUAGGGAUGGAGGGGAGGGGGCCUAGAUUCCAGUGGUAGCCUUGGGGGAGGGGAUUCCAGGCGGGGAGCCUGAAGUAGGUGUGCAGGGAGGGAGAAGCAGCGUCACGAGUUGGAGCCGAACUUCUUAGCCAAGAGUAAAAAGCCCGGAGCGUGGAGUGGAGGCCCUAGCGCAGGCUGGUGGGAGAGGAAAAGGGGUCUUUUCCAUGGAGGAGAAUAGUAGGGAACGGAGGAAGAGAGACCUGAAGCAAAGAGGGAACUAAAGCCAAACAAAUGGCCCUCUUCUAGACUUAGAUCAGCCUUUCCACAGUUCUUAUAGCAGCAUCUGCCCCAAUUUCAGCUGAAGACUCAGGGGCCCCAGGGAUUGGAAGAAAUCACAGUGCCUGCUUGGAAAGAAGAAGAGGUAGCGACUUGCCCCAGCUCAACCCCAGAGCGGGAGCUGUUGGCCAGAGGAAGUGGCUGGGCCGUGGGAUGCAGAGAGCCACAGGCUGACUCCCGGACAGCGGAACAGAGAGUGCUGCCGACGGACAGACGGUAUGUUCGCAGUGAGGCCUGCGCCCCCCACUGGGCCCCCUCCUGGGGAGGCUGGCAG
rnacentral:lncRNA from 1 species